UACGGGGGGGGCAAGCGUUGUUCGGAAUUACUGGGCGUAAAGGGUUCGUAGGUGGCCGACUAAGUCAGACGUGAAAUCCCUCAGCUCAACUGGGGAACUGCGUCUGAGACUGGCCGGCUUGAGUGCAGGAGAGGAACGCGGAAUUCCAGGUGUAGCGGUGAAAUGCGUAGAUAUCUGGAGGAACACCGGUGGCGAAGGCGGCAUCCUGGACCGGCAUUGACGCUGAGGCGCGAAAGCCAGGGGAGCAAACGGG
rnacentral:rRNA from 1 species